rnacentral:rRNA from 1 species
AAAAACCCAGUCUCGGUGAGUCUCUGGGUCCACCUCCCACCCGUGUUUAUCGUACCUUGUUGCUUCGGCGGGCCCGCCUCACGGCCGCCGGGGGGCAUCCGCCCCCGGGCCCGCGCCCGCCGAAGACACACAAACGAACUCUUGUCUGAAGAUUGCAGUCUGAGUACUUGACUAAAUCAGUUAAAACUUUCAACAACGGAUCUCUUGGUUCCGGCAUCGAUGAAGAACGCAGCGAAAUGCGAUAAGUAAUGUGAAUUGCAGAAUUCAGUGAAUCAUCGAGUCUUUGAACGCACAUUGCGCCCCCUGGUAUUCCGGGGGGCAUGCCUGUCCGAGCGUCAUUGCUGCCCUCAAGCACGGCUUGUGUGUUGGGCUCUCGCCCCCCGCUUCCGGGGGGCGGGCCCGAAAGGCAGCGGCGGCACCGCGUCCGGUCCUCGAGCGUAUGGGGCUUCGUCACCCGCUCUGUAGGCCCGGCCGGCGCCCGCCGGCGAACACCAUCAAUCUUAACCAGGUUGACCUCGGAUCAGGUAGGGAUACCCGCUGAACUUAAGCAUAUCAAUAAGCGGAGGAA